rnacentral:misc_RNA from 1 species
UUGAUUGUGUAUCGUCGCCUUCUGUGCUGGCCCCCCCGGCAAGUGCACGUUGGUGGCUUUCAUCCAAUACCCCUGUGAACCUUUGGCCUCUAGUUAGCUCCGGCUGGCAGAGGAUUUACAUACAAACUCGAAUGUAAUGAAAGCUCUUAUUGUGCACAAGCACUAAUGUA